GUACAAUGUGUACACAAAGGUCAUAGGAGUGUACACAAAGAUGCUUCAUGUUGUACGUGCGACGGAUCUUCCCGAAACAAGUUCCCUCUCAGAGGAACGGCGAACGGACCAAUCAGAGACCUCGUUUCAUCGCAGGUACCCGGAUGUACCCGUGGGGCAAUUAGCUACGUCAUUGUUCACCGCCGGACACCCGCUGGAAAUAAGGAAUGGAUUUACAACCGCUACUAACGUAUUCAUAACAGAUUCCAGCAAUGAACAAUGACCAUAGUUGACAGAUCUUCAGAAAAUUCUGACCACGAGUCAGUCGGGUGUAAGCGAUCUCCCUUUCCCAGUGGAGACUUGGGGAUGGAUGGCAGCUGUUCCAGCAGCUGGGCUAUGGGUCCCACUAUGUCGAGCGACUCUCCCAGGAUGAAGGCUGCAGGAGGCUGCCUGGGCCCCACGCCUGGAGCUGCAGUCUACAACAGCACUGCCUCCUCCGGGGACCGGCCCAAGGAGCAAGUGAUAAGCAGUGGUGAUGGCAUCGACACGCCCCAGAAGGUCCUCUUCCCUCCAGAGCGGCUCAUCCUGAAGUGGACUCAGGUUCACCGCAUUGGUGCCGGCCUGCAGAACAUGGGGAACACCUGCUUCCUCAACUCAGCGCUGCAGUGUCUCACCUACACCCCGCCGUUUGCCAACUACUUGCUGACUCGGGAGCACUCAAAAACAUGUCACGAGCCGGGGUUCUGUAUGAUGUGCACCAUGCAAAACCACAUCAUUCAGGUCUUUGCAAACUCUGGGAAUGUCAUUAAGCCCAUCGGUGUGCUCAAUGAGCUCAAAAGGAUUGCGAAGCACUUCCGCUAUGGAAGCCAGGAGGAUGCCCAUGAGUUCCUGCGGUACACGGUGGAUGCUAUGCAAAAGUCCUGCUUACCUGGACCCAAACUGGACAGGCAAACGCAGGCAACCACUUUCAUCCAUCAAGUGUUCGGCGGGUACCUGAGGUCCAGAGUUAAAUGUUUAAACUGCAAAGCAGUUUCAGACACAUUUGACCCAUUUUUGGAUAUAACUCUGGAAAUAAAGACGGCUCCCAGUGUCUCUAAGGCUCUGGAGCAGUUUGUGAAGCCAGAACAGCUGGAUGGAGAAAACGCCUACAAAUGCACCAAGUGCAAAAAAAUGGUCACAGCCUCUAAGAGAUUCACCAUCCACCGCAGCUCCAACGUGCUCACCCUGUCGCUCAAACGCUUUGCAAACUUCAGCGGAGGCAAAAUCACAAAGGAUGUGAAAUAUCCAGAGUAUCUGGACCUGCAGCCCUUCAUGUCUCAGCCUCAAGGAGACCCGCAGGUCUACGCUCUGUUUGCUGUGCUGGUCCACUCUGGGUUCAGCUGUCAUGCCGGACACUACUUCUGCUAUAUUAAGGCGAGCAAUGGGCAGUGGUAUCAGAUGAACGACUCCUCCGUGUCUGUCAGCGACAUCCGGUCUGUCCUCAACCAGCAGGCCUACGUCCUGUUCUACAUCAAGUCCAGUGACGGGAAGAAAGCCGGGGACUACAGCCACAUGAGCCACAGCGCAGGCAUCCCUGGUCAGUCGUCUCCGCGGCCGGUGGUGAUUCCUCGCAUCAACACCGGCGUUCAUCACAACAACAACAUCGGCUUCAUCGGUCCCCAGUUGCCGCCACACAUGACCAAGCGCGCUCUUCAUGUCAAUGGGAACGGAUCUCUGAGGGACUAUCACACCAACUCCAAGCCCAGCACCAGCAGCAGUGUUGGGGGGAAAUCUAUCCAUGGACUGGCUUCCUCUUCCUCCUCCUCUUCCUCCUCCUCCUCCUCCUCCUCCUCUUCUUCCAUCUCCCACUCUAUCAGCCGGCCCACCAUGAUCCCAGACCAGGACAAGCGGCAGAAGCUUUCAUUCUUCAUCGGACAGAAACCCAACCGCCCCUCCUCCUCCUCCUCCUCCUCUUCCUCUUACAGCCAGCCGUCCUCUGCCAGCAGCAGCUCCUCCUCCUCUUCUUCCUCCUCCUCGCAGUCUACCUCAGACGUUCGCUUUGUUCCGCGUCAGCUAAACCACGUUAACGGCACGUCUCGUAACGGCGGUCACCACGCGGGAGGAAACGGAGCGUCGUUCUUGGUGCCGUACGGCCAAGAGUCCUCGGAGGAGUCGGACCAGGAGAACUGUGGCUCUCUGGAUAACGGCUGUUUAGGAAAGUCUCACCUCAACGGAAAGAGAGUGGGAGAUAGUUCCUCUCAAGCCACCAACGGAGAUUCAGCAGCGCACCACAACGGGUUAAACGGACCAACCAACGGCGUCUCUAAACCCAGUCAGAAUGGGCACCACAACGGACACCACAAAGUAAAUGGACACGCCCCUAAUAAACUCUCUGGCAGUAAUCAUGACGCUUCAUCCUCUGUGGCCACGGUUGUUUCUAACGGACAUGACAGCGAUCAUAGUCAGACAAGCAAAGAGGCUCAUAAUGCUGCCUCAUCCCUGGCCAGUUCCUCCCAGAGCCUCCACCCCGCUGCCAGUGAAAGCCAGACCCUGUCCCCUCCCGACAUAAGGGCUAAAACUGUGUCUGAACCCCUGCCCCCGCAAGCACCAUCCUCCUCCUCUCCACCUUCAGCUACAAACACUCAUCCUGUCACAUCCAGAGAACCUGCUUCUUCCUCUUCGGCCCCGCACUGCAACCCCGCGGCAUUAUCCCCCCCGACAGACUGCUCACAAAACACCAACGGGACGUCUGCCGCUCCACAGAGGGUCAGCCGAGGGGAGGACGAAAAGAAGGAUCUACCACGGACCCGGGAUCCGUCAGCAGGGACCGCUAAGGAGCAAACCACGUCCAAGCCCAGUUCUAGAGGCGGUGAGAGAGACUGGAGCAGAGACAAGGACCGACACUACAGGGACAGGAGCCCGGUGCGAGAAAGGGACGGGGAUAGACAUCGGUACAGACGGGACUCCCGGGAUCGCUCUCGGGAUCGCUACCAGCGCUCGUACAAGGACCGGCUUGUUCCUUACAAUCGGUCCUACAGGGACUGGGACUCUGAUCGUCGCAGGGACCGGCCUUUCCUCACCCCCAGGGAGCGUAACAGUUACAGCUCCAGAGAUGAUUGGGGCCACGAGCGGAGGGGAUACGGUCACUCCGAGUCCUCUAGGAGCCGGCCGCAGGAGAGCAGAGAAUCCCGGCCCAUGAAGGAGAAGUGCAACGUCAGGGAGAGGGACUAUUAUACGUCGAGAGGGGAGACUUCCUCGCCAAACACAGAGACCUCGGAGAAGUCAAAGGGCUCCCCCCCUCGGGACCGUCCCGACACAAAUGAGUCAACUCUGAACAAAGAUGAUCACAAGAGGAGCGCUCAUCCUCCGAGCAAGGAGAGGGAGGACAGCUCUGAGACACGGCGCUCUAAAAAACACAAAAAGAGCAAGAAGAAGAAGUCGAAGGACAAAGAGAGACACCGAGAGAGCGGGAGCUCAGAAGUGGAUUCAGACCGAGCCUCCGACCCCAAAAAGAAGAAGAAGAAGCGGAGGCGGCGCAGCGAGUCGGAGCAGCGCAGCCCGGCAGCAUCGAGGUUCCACAGGAACAAGAGCAGCGAAGAGAGGGAGAUCCGCAAACGGCGUCACUACGACACCAAGGACGCAAAACACCACAACGGUUUCUCGCCAGAAAAACGCCGGCGCGCAGAUCACAGCAGUGGCAGUGAGCAUCCCGGCCCCUCCAACCCUGCCUCCCCCACACACGCUUCAAAUCACCCCCAUCUCAACGGAUACAAAGGCAUUUUGUAGACCAACAAUCAAUCAACUUGCGGCUCUCAGUAGAGACAGAAAGCAGACCGUGUGAGGUGAAGAUGUAAAGUGUCGAUGUGUUGCAGGAAACGGUUACAGCCACACUAACGGCGACUCCCACGGAUCCUCCAGUGGCUGGAAACACUGACUACACACCUCCAUUUCAACAACAGCAGAGGAAUGAAUUGGACUUUUUUUGACGUGGUGCUUUUUCUUCUUCUUCUUCGUUGGGAAUAUAUUGUAUUUUUACCGCAAGACAAAGUGUUUUAAAUGUAAGGCAUCGAUUUAUAAGCCGUAAUUCUCCUAACUAUGGUAUAAAAAAAAAAGAAACUGUCACUCAAUGGACAUUUAUGAUAAAAUAUUAAUAUAUACUUGUAUGAACACAAACAAAAAGCCUGGAGCUUCAAACAUCUCAGCUGCUGCUCAGUGGAACUCAGGACAUGAACACUCGUUUCGUGGAUAUCCACCUGCGUCACAUUCAGACAAACUAAAGGGAAAAGCGCUGCCUGCGAGGAGGAUCGUGUCGGGUGCAGGUUUCAGAUGUCACCAUAUCUAGGAUGGUUUUUAUGACCCCACUGGGUGCGGAGAGGGAGAUACUUGUGAAUGAAGCCUCCACAUUAACCCUGGACAGACUUGAGGACAUUUCCUUUUUCUUUUUUUUUGGUUUCCUUUUUCCCCGCUCUGAAGCCUAAGAUUCACUCCGUAAUUUUUAAACUUUUUUCAGAGGUGUAUCAUGCCUUCUUCUGCUCUCCUCACAUUGCUUUUGGAUUCGUUUAAAAAAGGAAACCAUCAACGUAUUUGUCAAUCAUGCCUGUGGACCAUUUGUGUUUUUGCUUUUUUAAUGGAACAGUUUUGUGUCUUCUAGCAUCAUAAAAAAAUACUGUGAAUUUAAUUUUGAACUGUACUAUCAGUUAUUUUUAUAUGUAACAAUCCUGUAUCAGGGUUACCUGUAGAUGUUGAUUUGUUUUGAGUAAAACCCAUGUUAAUAUCGACCAUAUUCUCUGGACAAAAGUGGGGAAUGAUGUUUUGCUUUGUUUUUUUUUCUCCAACUUUAGACAGAAGUUGAAAAACUGCUACUACCUUUUAAGUUUAGCAUGUCAGAAUUUAUACAUUGUAUAAGGUAAAAGCCUUAAAUACAUUUGUUAAUGUCAGAAAUUGUAAUCUCUUCUUGGUCUUUGUUUACAAGCUGCAUUGAAAUGAAUGGGAAAACUGAGAUGAUUGACGAGUUGCCGGGUAGAAAGUCCCCGUCUGCCUUUGUAUUAUAUACUAGGAUUAGAUUGUAUCCACGCUUCCUUAAUUGUUAUAUGUACGUGUGGAUGAUAGCACUGUCCUGUAACUUAAACACACACACAUUUCUAGCCACAACUCACUAAAAUAUUCCAGAAUAACCAAAGACGUGGAAAGUUAAGCUCUUCUCACUGAACUCACACACAGUUUUCUGAUCAGCAUGAUGUUUUUAUUCAUAGUAUUCAUGAGCAUCUUUCCCAAACUAAGAUCAAUUAACCUUUAAAAUGACAUCUACUAUUAAAAAAAACGAGGCUUCAAGUCGUCUCGAUCUCCGUUUGGGGAAAAUCAGA